GCAGGCGUGGUAGAAUUGGUAGACACGACAGACUUAGGAUCUGGUGACGCAAGGUGUGAGAGUUCGAGUCUCUCCGUCUGUG
rnacentral:tRNA from 1 species